rnacentral:snoRNA from 1 species
UUGCUAUGAUGAGUAUAUUUAACUCUUUCGAAAGCUCUUGAAUGCUUUAUGACACAUCGACUAUAAUGUUGGUGCUGAGCGGUUACCUGAGCAA